rnacentral:rRNA from 1 species
ACGGGGUGCAGCAGGCGCGAAACCUUUACAAUGCACGAAAGUGUGAUAGGGGGAUACUCAGUGCUUACGGCUCUGCUGUAGGCCUUUGUCGAUCGUAAAUAGAUCGGUGAAUAAGUGGCGGGAAAGACCGGUGCCAGCAGCCGCGGUAA